rnacentral:rRNA from 1 species
ACUCACCGCCCGUCAAGUCAGGGGAGCCGUGAGUACCCGAAAUCCCAGCUAGUCUGGGCUUAAGGUAAGCAUGGUAACAAGGACUAAGUCGUAACAAGGCACGGCUAGCGGAAGCUG